GAUCGUAUCGUCCAGUGGUUAAGACACCACAUUGUGGAGGCAACCAGCUCUGACCUGGCGUACUUUACUGUGGAGACCCGCGUUCAAUUCGCGGUACGGUCA